CGACCCAAAAUGUCAGCUUUCCUGCUCCUCUGAUGCUGCCUGGCCUGCUUUGUUCCCCCAGAAUCACACUAAAUCAUAACCAAUACUGUCUUAGCCCAUUCUCCACCCCACCCCAACCCCUUCCACUCAUAAUGUUUAAAUGGCACUACUAUUAUUUACUGGAAAGAAACUGUGAUUACCCUGCACAAGAAACUUUGCUGCAUCAGGCAGAUAUGUGAUGUGGCUGCUAGACUGGAUCAGGUGUGGUAAUUUGCAGGUUCAGCUACUGACCUGCCAAUGCACAAGACAAAAAUGGAGUGAAGUAUCAUUUUCUCUAGAGAGAGGUGCUUCUGUACAAGCUCUCUUAUCAGCACCAGCAGCCUGCUGAUUAACACUCAUUAAGCAUCGACAUCCUCCACCACUGCAAUGUGUGUAUACCAUCUACAAUAUGCACUUCAGGCAACUCGCCAAAACUCAGCAGUAGCUAGAAUACUUUCAUGACUUGGGCUGUGACAUUUCAAAAAGACAGGCACAAACAAGAGUUUUACUGAGCAGACUGAUUCCAUAUGGCCCAUCAUCUGUGUGCCAACCAAGAUGGAUCACCCAGCCUAAUUUCUCUUACCAGCCCUGUCAGCAUAGCUGUGUAGCGUAUAGCGCUUCAAGUGCGCAUCCAAAAAGAUUUUAUUUUAAAUGCAAAGUGAAUUUAUGCCUCACUACAGAACUUUUAGAUGGAGAGUUCCAUAUCCACACUUUUCUGGGUAAAUAUCUUCUCAACUCUUCUCCAAUCUAACAAAUUGCUACAGCUCUGGAUUCUUGACAGGUCUGCUAAGGGAAGUAGGCCCUUUUUUUAUUAUGUCUCUUUCCUUUUAUCUCCCAAUCUCCACUGUUCUCCCCUCUUUGGUUGCCUUGGGGUCACAUCCUUCUGCAAGAGGCAGGGCCCUGUGUAGCACCAGGCCCAUGACCCAUUCCAGCUCGGAUAUGCCGCAUGAGCAGUGGCAGAAGAUGUGCCCAGAACCAGGACCUCAGCAGCACUCAGAUAUGGUGGAGAAGCCCAUUACCAAGACCCCAGCCAAUGUUAAAGUAGCAGGAACUGUAGGAGCAGCUGAGAAAGAGAAAGAAGAAGGAGAGCCAAAUGAGAAGAUGAACAGCUGAACCUAAAAAUACCAAAGCUAUUGCAGUAAAAGCAUGCAAUGCAAACAGAUCCGAGAUGGCACUGCAGAGUGGUGACAUGUUGUGGAUAACUUGCAAAACAACACUUUCCACUGUAGGUAACAAAGUGUGAAGCUGGAUGAACACAGCAGGCCAAGCAGCAUCUCAGGAGCACUAAAGCUGACGUUUCAGGCCUAGACCCUUCAUCAGAGAGAAUGGUUCCUUUUCUGAGAUUCCAAGCAUAACUGGAAGAUAGACAAUCAGAACUUCUGACGGACUCUGUCCUGAAGCCAUUUUGUCGGAAAGUUAGCAACACCUGUGAGAAAAUGCAAAGUCGUUAGCUAAAUCGUCAAUAGGUUUUGAAGCAGUAAUUUGGAAAUAUUAAUUCUCUCUGUGCUGUUUUCACCUUCAACAACAGUGUAAAUCUGAAUCCUGUUGACAUGCUGCUAUGCCAGUGAAAAACACAAAAUGUUAUUUAGUUGCGAUUGAACUGUGAUUUUUAUUUUACAAAAAGAAAGACAUUUAUUUACAUUCAGAAUGAUGCGCUGGCUUUGGAGGGAGUGCACAGGUCAUUUACAACAAUGGACCUGGGAAUGAAAGCCUUGUCAUGUGAGGAGAGGUUGAUCUGUACUUGAUGGGAUUUAGAAGGAUGACGGGGGAUCUGCCUGAAACUUACACAAUGGACAAGGAGAAGAUAUUUCUACUAGUUGGAGAUACCAGAUCCGAGGCCUCAGAGUGAAGGGAUGACCCUUUAGAACUGAGAUGAGGAGGACUUUCUUCGACCAGAGGGAAGUGAAUGUACAGAACCCAUUGCAGAAUUAAUGAGCUGAAUGGCCCGACUCUGCUGCUGUAUCCCGUAUAUCCUUAUGUGCUUUGUCAGGUUCUCCACAAUUUCCUUUUGAGGUGGUGGCGCUGGUGGUGAACUGCCUAAUUGGUCCAAUACCCACCAGUGCCUGUUGACAUGGAGCUGGGUAGUGCGUAAACUCAGUUGUAGCUUUGAAGUGAUCAGCCCUGGGGCAUUUAAUGUUGGGGUAGGGGGCCACAUAUGUAGUGCAAGAACAUAGCCCUCCUAUCUUGCACCUCUUAAAGGCCACCUGUCCUCAUCAAGGGAACCUGAAUCGAAUGGCACUGAAGUAAGUAGCAUUCAAAUUUGCAGGUAGAGUGUCAAAUCAGCCAGUCUGGAGGUUGCUGGAACACCCCUUUACAACGUGGUAUGAGUUCUCAGCCCAACUCCUGUUUGGCAGCAUUCAGUUCCCCUUGGCACCACCUGACUUCCAGCCCUCCCUGACUGGAGCCUGCGAUCAGAUCAGCUGUGAUUAUACAGAAAAGCAGCACAGGUCCAAGAAAUUGAAUGGCUUGACCAUGACCUUAUUUCAUUCAUACAUUCAAAAUCCUGGACUUCCCUUCCUAACAGCCCAGUCAACAUGGGUUUUAGUAGGCUCAGAGCCACCAGCGACAUCCCAUGAAUGAACAAAAUAAGUCCAUUUAGAAGUUUUGGCAAAACUUUGUAGCUCGAGUUGUGGAUGAGUUGUUGACUUGCUCACCGAGCUGGCUUGUUCUUAUUCAGAUGUUUCAUCACA